rnacentral:misc_RNA from 1 species
UCCGGUUCAUCACCAGCAGUCUCCUUAGAGUCCCCACCAUUACGUGCUGGUAACUAAGGAUAAGGGUUGCGCUCGUUACGGGACUUAACCCAACAUCUCACAACACGAGCUGACGACAGCCAUGCAGCACCUGUCUCUGCGUUCCUUUCGGCACUCCCAAAUCUCUUUAGGAUUCGCAGGAUGUCAAGGGUAGGUAAGGUUCUUCGCGUUGCAUCGAAUUAAACCACAUGCUCCACCGCUUGUGCGGGCCCCCGUCAAUUUCUUUGAGUUUUAAUCUUGCGACCGUACUCCCCAGGCGGAAAACUUAUCGCGUUAGCUUCGAUACUGAUAGGUCUAAGCCUAACAACAUCUAGUUUUCAUCGUUUACAGCGUGGACUAC